rnacentral:rRNA from 1 species
UGGGGAAUUUUGGACAAUGGGCGAAAGCCUGAUCCAGCCAUGCCGCGUGCAGGAUGAAGGCCUUCGGGUUGUAAACUGCUUUUGUACGGAACGAAAAGCCUCUUUCUAAUAAAGAGGGGUCAUGACGGUACCGUAAGAAUAAGCACCGGCUAACUACGUGCCAGCAGCCGCGGUAAUACGUAGGGUGCAAGCGUUAAUCGGAAUUACUGGGCGUAAAGCGUGCGCAGGCGGUUUUGUAAGACAGAGGUGAAAUCCCCGGGCUCAACCUGGGAACUGCCUUUGUGACUGCAAGGCUGGAGUGCGGCAGAGGGGGAUGGAAUUCCGCGUGUAGCAGUGAAAUGCGUAGAUAUGCGGAGGAACACCGAUGGCGAAGGCAAUCCCCUGGGCUGCACUGACGCUCAUGCGCGAAAGCGUGGGGAGCAAACAGGAUUAGAUACCCUGGUAGUCCACGCCCUAAACGAUGUCAAACUGGUUGUUGGGUCUUUCACUGACUCAGUAACGAAGCUAACGCGUGAAGUUGACCGCCUGGGGAGUACGGCCGCAAGGUUGAAACUCAAAUGAAUUGACGGGGUCAUAGCUGUUUCC